rnacentral:rRNA from 1 species
GGUUAAGCGACCAAGCGUACACGGUGGAUGCCCUGGCAGUCAGAGGCGAUGAAGGGCGUGCUAAUCUGCGAUAAGCGCCGGUAAGGUGAUAUGAACCGUUAUAACCGGCGAUACCCGAAUGGGGAAACCCAGUGUGAUUCGUCACACUAUCAUUAACUGAAUCCAUAGGUUAAUGAGGCGAACCGGGGGAACUGAAACAUCUAAGUACCCCGAGGAAAAGAAAUCAACCGAGAUUCCCCCAGUAGCGGCGAGCGAACGGGGAGGAGCCCAGAGCCUGAAUCAGCAUGUGUGUUAGUGGAAGCGUCUGGAAAGGCGCGCGAUACAGGGUGACAGCCCCGUACACAAAAGCGCAUGUGCUGUGAGCUCGAUGAGUAGGGCGGGACACGUGGUAUCCUGUCUGAAUAUGGGGGGACCAUCCUCCAAGGCUAAAUACUCCUGACUGACCGAUAGUGAACCAGUACCGUGAGGGAAAGGCGAAAAGAACCCCGGCGAGGGGAGUGAAAAAGAACCUGAAACCGUGUACGUACAAGCAGUGGGAGCCCCACCACUAAGCCAGUGGUGAACUCCACAUACGCAUCCUUUGCUGAGGAUACGGUUAACGGAGCGAAAGCGACGUUCAACCUCAAAAGAAGCAGAGGGGGCUUAGUGGUGGGGUGACUGCGUACCUUUUGUAUAAUGGGUCAGCGACUUAUAUUCUGUAGCAAGGUUAACCGAAUAGGGGAGCCGGAGGGAAACCGAGUCUUAAUUGGGCGUUAAGUUGCAGGGUAUAGACCCGAAACCCGGUGAUCUAGCCAUGGGCAGGUUGAAGGUUGGGUAACACUAACUGGAGGACCGAACCGACUAAUGUUGAAAAAUUAGCGGAUGACCUGUGGCUGGGGGUGAAAGGCCAAUCAAACCGGGAGAUAGCUGGUUCUCCCCGAAAGCUAUUUAGGUAGCGCCUCGUGAAUUCAUCUCCGGGGGUAGAGCACUGUUUCGGCCAGGGGGCCAUCCCGGCUUACCAACCCGAUGCAAACUGCGAAUACCGGAGAAUGUUAUCACGGGAGACACACGGCGGGUGCUAACGUCCGUCGUGAAGAGGGAAACAACCCAGACCGCCAGCUAAGGUCCCAAAGUCAUGGUUAAGUGGGAAACGAUGUGGGAAGGCCCAGACAGCCAGGAUGUUGGCUUAGAAGCAGCCAUCAUUUAAAGAAAGCGUAAUAGCUCACUGGUCGAGUCGGCCUGCGCGGAAGAUGUAACGGGGCUAAACCAUGCACCGAAGCUGCGGCAGCGAACGUAUCACCCAAGACAACUUUGCACAGUUGACGAUUGACGGAGCGAAGCGACGUCAAAGCGUUUUACAACGUCGAGUUGGCUUAGGGAUACGUUCGUUGGGUAGGGGAGCGUUCUGUAAGCCUGUGAAGGUGGCCUGUGAGGGUUGCUGGAGGUAUCAGAAGUGCGAAUGCUGACAUAAGUAACGAUAAAGCGGGUGAAAAGCCCGCUCGCCGGAAGACCAAGGGUUCCUGUCCAACGUUAAUCGGGGCAGGGUGAGUCGACCCCUAAGGCGAGGCCGAAAGGCGUAGUCGAUGGGAAACGGGUUAAUAUUCCCGUACUUGGUGUUACUGCGAAGGGGGGACGGAGAAGGCUAUGUUGGCCGGGCGACGGUUGUCCCGGUUUAAGCGUGUAGGCUGGUUUUCCAGGCAAAUCCGGAAAAUCAAGGCUGAGGCGUGACGACGAGGCACUACGGUGCUGAAGCAACAAAUGCCCUGCUUCCAGGAAAAGCCUCUAAGCAUCAGGUAACAUCAAAUCGUACCCCAAACCGACACAGGUGGUCAGGUAGAGAAUACCAAGGCGCUUGAGAGAACUCGGGUGAAGGAACUAGGCAAAAUGGUGCCGUAACUUCGGGAGAAGGCACGCUGACACGUAGGUGAAGUGAUUUACUCAUGGAGCUGAAGUCAGUCGAAGAUACCAGCUGGCUGCAACUGUUUAUUAAAAACACAGCACUGUGCAAACACGAAAGUGGACGUAUACGGUGUGACGCCUGCCCGGUGCCGGAAGGUUAAUUGAUGGGGUCAGCGCAAGCGAAGCUCCUGAUCGAAGCCCCGGUAAACGGCGGCCGUAACUAUAACGGUCCUAAGGUAGCGAAAUUCCUUGUCGGGUAAGUUCCGACCUGCACGAAUGGCGUAAUGAUGGCCAGGCUGUCUCCACCCGAGACUCAGUGAAAUUGAACUCGCUGUGAAGAUGCAGUGUACCCGCGGCAAGACGGAAAGACCCCGUGAACCUUUACUAUAGCUUGACACUGAACAUUGAGCCUUGAUGUGUAGGAUAGGUGGGAGGCUUUGAAGCGUGGACGCCAGUCUGCGUGGAGCCGGCCUUGAAAUACCACCCUUUAAUGUUUGAUGUUCUAACGUGGACCCGUAAUCCGGGUUGCGGACAGUGUCUGGUGGGUAGUUUGACUGGGGCGGUCUCCUCCUAAAGAGUAACGGAGGAGCACGAAGGUUGGCUAAUCCUGGUCGGACAUCAGGAGGUUAGUGCAAUGGCAUAAGCCAGCUUGACUGCGAGCGUGACGGCGCGAGCAGGUGCGAAAGCAGGUCAUAGUGAUCCGGUGGUUCUGAAUGGAAGGGCCAUCGCUCAACGGAUAAAAGGUACUCCGGGGAUAACAGGCUGAUACCGCCCAAGAGUUCAUAUCGACGGCGGUGUUUGGCACCUCGAUGUCGGCUCAUCACAUCCUGGGGCUGAAGUAGGUCCCAAGGGUAUGGCUGUUCGCCAUUUAAAGUGGUACGCGAGCUGGGUUUAGAACGUCGUGAGACAGUUCGGUCCCUAUCUGCCGUGGGCGCUGGAAGAUUGAGGGGGGCUGCUCCUAGUACGAGAGGACCGGAGUGGACGCAUCACUGGUGUUCGGGUUGUCAUGCCAAUGGCACUGCCCGGUAGCUAAAUGCGGAAGAGAUAAGUGCUGAAAGCAUCUAAGCACGAAACUUGCCCCGAGAUGAGUCUUCCCUGAGACUUUAAGUCUCCUGAAGGAACGUUAAAGACGAUGACGUUGAUAGGCCGGGUGUGUAAGCGCAGCGAUGCGUUGAGCUAACCGGUACUAAUGAACCGUGAGGCUUAACCUU